AGUGAACGCUGGCGGUAGGCCUAACACAUGCAAGUCGAACGGCAGCACAGUAAGAGCUUGCUCUUACGGGUGGCGAGUGGCGGACGGGUGAGGAAUACAUCGGAAUCUACUUUUUCGUGGGGGAUAACGUAGGGAACCUUACGCUAAUACCGCAUACGACCUACGGGUGAAAGCAGGGGAUCUUCGGACCUUGCGCGAUUGAAUGAGCCGAUGUCGGAUUAGCUAGUUGGCGGGGUAAAGGCCCACCAAGGCGACGAUCCGUAGCUGGUCUGAGAGGAUGAUCGGCCACACUGGAACUGAGACACGGUCCAGACUCCUACGGGAGGCAGCAGUGGGGAAUAUUGGACAAUGGGCGCAAGCCUGAUGCAGCCAUACCGCGUGGGUGAAGAAGGCCUUCGGGUUGUAAAGCCCUUUUGUUGGGAAAGAAAAGCAGCAGGUGAAUACGGCGCUGUUUUGACGGUACCCAAAGAAUAAGCACCGGCUAACUUCGUG
rnacentral:rRNA from 1 species